rnacentral:sRNA from 2 species
GGAGUGAAUCCGCCGAGUUCUGCCAGCACUUCAAGGAACGUCUACCCAAUACGGCAGAAGCGGGGGAACCACUUUUUGGUUUCUCCUUAGGGGAGAAGCCUAGGGGCUAAGUCGCGCAAGUGACCGAGUGAAUCCAUGCUCGCGCCCGACAGCUUACCUCGUCAGGCAAUGGAGGAAUAUUAC